rnacentral:rRNA from 1 species
UACGGGGGGGGCAAGCGUUUGUUCGGAAUUACUGGGCGUAAAGGGCUCGUAGGCGGCCAUCUAAGUCGGACGUGAAAUCCCUCGGCUUAACCGGGGGAACUGCGUCUGAUACUGGAUGGCUAGAGGUUGGGAGAGGGAUGCGGAAUUCCAGGUGUAGCGGUGAAAUGCGUAGAUAUCGUGAGGAAGACCAGUGGCGAAGGCGGGGU